rnacentral:rRNA from 1 species
AAGGAAUAUUGGUCAACGGACGCAAGUCUGAACCAGCCAUGCCGCGUGAAGGAUGAAGGUCCUCUGGAUUGUAAACUUCUUUUAUCUGGGACGAAAACGGGAUUUUUAUCUCAAUUGACGGUACCAGAGGAAUAAGCACCGGCUAGCUUCGUGCCAGCAGCCGCGGUAAUACGAAGGGUGCAAGCGUUAUCCGGAUUCAUUGGGUUUAAAGGGUGCGUAGGCGGGAUAGCAAGUCAGUGGUGAAAUCCCGUGGCUUAACCACGGAAUUGCCAUUGAUACUGCUGUUCUUGAGUACGCUCGACNUGGGCGGAAUGUGCCGUGUAGCGGUGAAAUGCUUAGAUAUGGCACAGAACACCGAUAGUGAAGACAGCUCACGAGGGCGAAACUGACGCUGAGGCACGAAAGCGUGGGGAUCAAACA